AUUAAAGAGGGCACGUUCUGCAUGGAGCACUGGGUGUUAUACGCAAACAAUGAAUCAUGGAACACUACAUCAAAAACUAAUGAUGUAAUGAAUGGUGAUUAACAUAACAUAAUAAAAAAAAGAGAAAAAAAGUGUGAAUGGAAUGACACAGCACUUAAUACAAAUCAAAGCAAACUAAACAUAUAAUUGAGGUUUUCCAUCAUAUUCUAUCAGUCUCUGCUUGUUCUGAGGUCUAUACACGUCUGGGGAAUCUAGUUCAUGAGCUGACACAGUGGAGACUGUAUGGGGGAAGCAUCUUGUCGAGUCACUGUGGGAUAUUCAUGUUCAGAAACUGAGCCCAAAAGGAGCUUAAACUGGCCCCUAUCUCACCCAAGGGCACAACCAGGAUCUCAGAAAGCAAAUACAGAGGACAAAGCAGACAGAGUGAGAGAAGACCCCAACAAAGGAGAGAAUACUCCAUUUAGAAAUACUUCCCAUUCUUCUCCCUUGGUCCCUGGCUCUGUUGUUCAACAUGCAGGAACACCAUGGUUAACUAGCCAACACCACAGGUCUGUGCAAGUCACAUGAUCCUGAUUGCUGUUUUAACUCUGCUGUCCUUUAAGGUAAGUACAUCCACCUGGUCUUUGACUGUUGAGUGCUGCCGCUUGGUCCUGCCAUCCUGGGGUCCAAUUACAUCCACUGAAUUUAAAUUUUCCAAUUUAGUGACUAUGAGUCCCUCUGUAAGAUCUGGCCUUCAGAGAAGAGCUUUCACAAGGAUGCUGGGAAUCCCCUCACAAAUUUAUUGUUCAAAGUAUUGGUGAAGGUGUAUGUCUUGAACCUCGCAUUUGAAAGCUGAAAGACAACAGUGAUGAUGGAAAAGAAGAAAAAACUGAUAAAGAUCACAAUUGUCAUUUUGUUCACAUAAUGUCUUAAGAUAAUAAAAUAUCUUUCAGAGGUUUUUUUAUAAGUCCCAAGUAUGUUUUCAUUUAAAUGAGAGGAUUAGAAAUAAAUACUGUGGAGCUCAUUUGUUGAAGUUUAGUUAGCAUUUGAUUCAGACUUUCAAUUUUCAGCUUCUCUCCUUUCUGGUCAUACAAGUAGAUAACCAAGCUUCUCCUAACUUAUGUAUUCUCAUCUGUAAGGUGGGAACAGUGAUAUAUGUCUCAGUGGAUUAUUGCAUUUCGUAGACAUUGAAGUGCUCAAAAGUGCUAUUAUUAAUUCUCAUUCUAGAAGGUUCUUUGCCUUAAAUUACAAUCUUUAGCAUUAUAUGUAAGGUAGCUUGAUUUAAUAGGAAAAUGUAGGCUACGUGACAUAAAAUACAGGUUAGCCCACUCAGAUACCCAACCCAACCUCUUCGGUAUGGCCUUCCUCAACUCUUGAGAUUGGGAACCUGGAAAAUUCACUUCGUGGAGUAUUUUUCAGCUAAGUAUGGCCACAUGAUUCACUUCUGUGCAAAGAGUGAGGCACGAGCGUAAGUGCGGAAGUACCACCAUCUUCUCUCCCAUCCGUAAGGUAGAUGUGAUGAUAGGAAUUGGAGCAGCUGCCAUGCAACCCCGAGGGAAAGGGAACAAAAUCAAACCCAUGACCCCGUGCUAACAACCUCCUACCUUUAGAUUUAUUGCUAUAUGAGAAAAAGAAUGUCUCUAAUUUCUUGAAGGUCACAAUUUAAUUGAAUUCUCCCUCACAAGUGAAUGCAAGCCCCACCUGAGACAUCCUUUGGUGCAGAAUGGAUACAAUUCCAUUUUAUUCCUUACUAGUUGUGUGACAGGAACAAAAACAAAGUGUGGGAGCAAGGGUUGGUGAGGGAGGGGUCCAGCUAUUGAUACAACCCAAGAACAAACACGUCAAACACCCAAGAGUGUUUCUGGCAUAUAAUAGGCUGUGAGUGGCAAAAAUCACAGGUAAGAAUCAUUUCCCUUGGGGCACCUGGGUGGCUCAGUCGUUAAGCGUCUGCCUUCGGCUCAGGUCAUGAUCCCAGAGUCCUGGGAUCGAGCCCCGCAUUGGGCUCCCUGCUCCGCGGGAGGCCUGCUUCUCCCUCUCCCACUCCCCCUGCUUGUGUUCCUGCUCUUGCUAUCUCUCUCUCUGUCAAAUAAAUAAAUAAAAUCUUUAAAAAAAAAAAAAGAAUCAUUUCCCUUAUCUUAUGGCUGUGAGUUGUUGAGAAAUCACGGAAUUACUUCCCUAUGAACAUUUUGUCUUGAAGAGAACACGUUGGGCAAUUCAGCAGUCUGAACAGAAAAUAAAAGUUAUUGAGCAUAUUAAGCACUAAGCAAAUGUCAACUCUCUCUCCUUUAGGUUGUGUGCUUACAGGUAGUUUCCAAACCAACCAAAUAACUUUCAAAAGCUAAUUACAGCUUGAAACUAAGAGGAGGCUUGAUAUUGAAAGUAUUUUUUUUAAGUCAGUUUAAAAUGU